rnacentral:rRNA from 1 species
AUUGAACGCUGGCGGCAGGCCUAACACAUGCAAGUCGAACGGUAACAGGAAGAAGCUUGCUUCUUUGCUGACGAGUGGCGGACGGGUGAGUAAUGUCUGGGAAACUGCCUGAUGGAGGGGGAUAACUACUGGAAACGGUAGCUAAUACCGCAUAACGUCGCAAGACCAAAGAGGGGGACCUUCGGGCCUCUUGCCAUCGGAUGUGCCCAGAUGGGAUUAGCUAGUAGGUGGGGUAACGGCUCACCUAGGCGACGAUACCUAGCUGGUCUGAGAGGAUGACCAGCCACACUGGAACUGAGACACGGUCCAGACUCCUACGGGAGGCAGCAGUGGGGAAUAUUGCACAAAGGGCGCAAGCCUGAUGCAGCCAUGCCGCGUGUAUGAAGAAGGCCUUCGGGUUGUAAAGUACUUUCAGCGGGGAGGAAGGGAGUAAAGUUAAUACCUUAGCUCAUUGACGUUACCCGCAGAAGAAGCACCGGCUAACUCCGUG